UUCCAGACUCCUACGGGAGGCAGCAGUGAGGAAUAUUGGUCAAUGGGCUUACGCCUGAACCAGCCAAGUCGCGUGAGGGAAGACUGCCCUAUGGGUUGUAAACCUCUUUUGUCAGGGAGCAACGCCGGCUACGUGUAGCCGGACUGAGAGUACCUGAAGAAAAAGCAUCGGCUAACUCCGUGCCAGCAGCCGCGGUAAUACGUAGGGGGCAAGCGUUAUCCGGAUUUACUGGGUGUAAAGGGAGCGUAGACGGUGAAGUAAGUCUGGAGUGAAAGGCGGGGGCCCAACCCCCGGACUGCUCUGGAAACUAUUUGACUGGAGUGCAGGAGAGGUAAGCGGAAUUCCUAGUGUAGCGGUGAAAUGCGUAGAUAUUAGGAGGAACACCAGUGGCGAAGGCGGCUUACUGGACUGUAACUGACGUUGAGGCUCGAAAGCGUGGGGAGCAAACAGGAUUAGAUACCCUAGUA
rnacentral:rRNA from 1 species